rnacentral:rRNA from 1 species
UACGUAGGGGGCAAGCGUUAUCCGGAUUUACUGGGCGUAAAGAGCUCGUAGGCGGCCGUUCGCGUCGGAUGUGAAAGCUCAGGGCUCAACCCUGAGACGCCAUUCGAUACGGGACGGCUAGAGGUAGGUAGGGGAAAGUGGAAUUCCUGGUGUAGCGGUGAAAUGCGCAGAUAUCAGGAGGAACACCGGUGGCGAAGGCGGCUUUCUGGGACUUUCCUGACGCUGAGGAGCGAAAGCGGGGGGAGCGAACAGG